rnacentral:misc_RNA from 1 species
GAUGAAGAACGCAGUGAAAUGCGAUAAGUAAUGUGAAUUGCAGAAUUCAGUGAAUCAUCGAAUCUUUGAACGCACAUUGCGCCCCCUGGAAUUCCGGGGGGCAUGCCUGUUCGAGCGUCUCAGGGACGAACCCUCGCGCGGGUGUACGCGCGGUCGUGGCUGCGGUGGCGUGCCCGAGGCGGCGGCCACCGCGCUGGAAUCCAUGGGCGGACGCCUGCCGCGUGGCCGAGCGUGAUAUGACGCAUUGGCGCUCGCACGCGGCGAGGCUGCCAGCCCUGGCCCGUCUGUCGGGCGGGGGAGAGCAAGACACGUGAACUCCUCGAAUCAGGUAGGGAUACCCGCUGAACUUAAGCAUAUCAAGCGGAGGA